CCGAAGGUUCCUGUAUGGAACUAACAAGUUAUCUGUACCCAGCCGGAGGUUCCUUAAUGACAAGUUAUCCGUAUUCGGUCUCGAGGUUCCUUGAUGGAACUGACAAGCUAUUUGUACUCGGCUGGAGGUUCCUUUAUGGAACUGACAAGUAUGAUCUUCGAUGCUCCGUAUGUGAUCUGUUAGCGCUAACGAAUGUGAGCAGACGCGUGACCAGGCCUAAGCUGCUGCCCGGCGAGUUUUGGGUCAGCCAAUCACCAUGCCUCUCGAGGAGGUUCCUUUUUGAGAAGUCAAGUUUUGUGGUCCUGUUGAAGAUGUUCUUUUGUUUUUGUUUGGUUUGUCUACUUGUACAUUAGGUGAAGUCCCUUAUGAUGCUAUGUGUAUGGAAGUUUGACAUCAUAUAAGUUUCAAAUAUUGUCUGUUUCAUGCA